UACGGAGGGUGCAAGCGUUAAUCGGAAUUACUGGGCGUAAAGCGUGCGCAGGCGGUUUGUUAAGUCCGCUGUGAAAUCCCCGAGCUCAACUUGGGAAUUGCAGUGGAUACUGGCAAGCUGGAGUAUGGUAGAGGAAGGUGGAAUUCCCGGUGUAGCAGUGAAAUGCGUAGAUAUCGAUCGGAACACCCAUGGCGAAGGCAGCUCGCUGGCCUGCAACUGACGCUGAGGCGCGAAAGCCGGGGGAGCAAACAGG
rnacentral:rRNA from 1 species